GGGGAAGUACUUUAAAAAAAAGGUUUAAUUUGCAGUUAAAUAAUAGGAUUUUACUCCUCUACUCCA
rnacentral:tRNA from 1 species